rnacentral:rRNA from 1 species
UGGGGAAUUUUGCACAAUGGGGGAAACCCUGAUGCAGCGACGCCGCGUGAUUUAGAAGGCCUUCGGGUUGUAAAAAUCUUUUCUAUGGGAAGAAAAUGACAGUACCAUAGGAAUAAGGACCGGCUAAUUACGUGCCCGCAGCCGCGGUAAUACGUAAGGUCCGAGCGUUGUCCGGAAUCAUUGGGCGUAAAGGGUACGUAGGCGGGUAAGCAAGUUAGAAGUGAAAUCCUAUAGCUCAACUAUAGUAAGCUUUUAAAACUGCUCAUCUUGAGGUAUGGAAUGGAAAGUGGAAUUCCUAGUGUAGCGGUGAAAUGCGCAGAUAUUAGGAGGAAUACCGGUGGCGAAGGCGACUUUCUGGCCAUAACCUGACGCUGAGGUACGAAAGCGUGGGUAGCAAACAGG